ensembl:lncRNA
GGAAGCUCAUGAGCCAUUCGAGACAAACUGGCACAGACUAAACACACAACGACAAAGAGGUGGAAACAAUAAGGGCAAUACAAUUAAGACGGCUCAGACGGUUCUCCUGGUUGUCACUGCCUUCACCAUCUGCUGGAUGCCCCACCACAUCAUCGCCAUGUGGGUGGAGUUCGGCACCUUUCCCCUGAAUGACGCCACUUUUGCCUUUCGUAUCAUUUCCCACUGCCUUUCUUAUGGAAACUCCUGCGUCAACCCCGUCCUCUACGCCUUCCUGUCCGAGAACUUCCGCAAGGCCUGUCGCCAGGUCUUCACCUGCAGCUUCCUGCACCCGCCCCCAUCCACGGGAACGCUGGUCCGUUUACGCAUGGAGAACUUCUCCACCACACACUCAACCACCCCGAUCUGAAGGGAGGACGUAAUCAGAUACAUAAUGGAAACAAGCAUAUAUCUUCUUACAGCAGGAUCUUUGUCACAUGACAACACAACGGCUUUGAUUGGCUGCCAAACGUUUCAUUAUUGACAGAAUUACUUAAUGAACAGAAAAGAAAACUGCAAACUUGGAUGAAUAAAAUAAUCGUCUUCUAGAUUUUAUAUAGAAACAAAACACAAGCCUGGUUUUCAGCAAUGUGACUGAACAUUUAAAGAAAUACAAUAACAAUUGUUGUUCUCUUUUUAGAAAUGAAAGAUGAAAGUUGCUAUAUCGUCAUUACCGUUCAGCUUGAUAAUAAUCUACGCCCGUGGAAACAGAGGGUUCAGCAUGUAUUUCACUCUUCAAAAAUAUUUGUAAUAUAUUUAAUUUAUUGUUUUUUUCAAAUGUUGGUUUGUGUGUUUGAGAGUAGGUGUUUUCCCCCCAAUGAAAGAGAAACUCUGCAGGUGAUAUUUUCCCCUCAACGCUCCCCGGUUGAGCCAUUCUGGUCACUCACACAGCUCCUGAACCCCAAUUAUCCCCCUGACAUCAAAUCAACAAAUUUAAACUAACAAUUCUAAACAUUCAUUUACAUUUCUAACUUAUGUCACGAGUCAGUAACAAUUUACUUUUAGGAGUGUUUUGGUACAUUC